CCCCCAAAACACGGCGCGCCGCUGAAAUCCCAAAUCCUCUUACCCACGCGCCCUCCUCCUCUAGAUCGAAUCCUAAUCCAUUCCCCUCCUACUCUCACGCUACUUGCAGCGGCUCCUGGCGCGGCGACGGGAAGCGGCCAUUGGCUGCGGACGGCGACGGCGGUCUGAGCAGUUCCCGGCGUCCCCGUCCCGAGGUCGUCCCCUCCCCUUCCCCAAGUCACUGGUCGGCCUGCCCUUCCCACAGGUCGUUCGCAUCCUCACCUUAGGUCACGCGCCGCCGCUCGUCUCCCGCUACUUCGCUGACCAUGACUUCAGCGUUGACAUCGGCAGCCCUGUUCGCACCGUGCUCUAAAUUGCUCUAGGAUGGAAUGGUGUAGAUGUUUACUGAGUCUGAAUUUGCUUCUGCUGUUGAUUUGCUUGUGCUGUAGAUUGCUCUUGACAAUAUACAGUAAAGUUUUCAGAGUAACAAAUCUUUGUUAACCACUACAGCAAAGUUUUGUUCAGUUCAGUAAAUUGUCCAAUGAGCAAACUUUUGUUCAGUUCAGCAAAAUUUUAUUCGUUUCUGCCAUUAUCUUUCUAGUUGGCCAAUAUUGCACACAAAACCCAAGACAAGGAGACAUGGAUGAUGGAAUGGCGAAGAUCAAGAGGAUGAUGUUGGAGAUCUUCAACAGAAACUACUCUAAUGGAUCAGAGAUCAACAAGAACAGAUAUUACAACAAGCAACAACAGCAGCCGCUACAGUUCAAUCUACAGAUUAGAGAUGAACAACAACAAGAAGAAGGUACCUUCUUCUUGAGAGAUGAUCAGCAGCAUCACGAAGAACAGCAGCACAACACUAGCACCACCGGCGAGCGUGCAGCAUGGUCGAGUGUGCACGCGCCUGAGCAUGGGCCACACUUGGGUGGCGGCGCUGCCGUUUUGGUCACCGGAGGAGCUACGUGACGAGCUCCCAGCGGCGGCACAGAGAUGCUCCCACACAGUGGCCUGAAGGAGCGUCGCCUGGGCCUGGAGGAGGAGCGGCGCUUGGUCGUGGAGAGGAGGCGCUGGGCGUGGAGGAGUAGCUCGCCUCCGUGGACGCCAGCGGGGGUGGGCAGUGGAAUGAGGACGUGGUCGCGGACGAAAUCGAGGCGCAGGUGGACAAAAUCGAAGCUGUGUCGCUGGUGGACGACAGCGGGUUGUUGAGGUGCGCUGCGAACGCCGGAAUCGUCAGCACGGCCAUGGAAUCCCACGUGUUGCCGACACACUCAGGAUGCACCAAUGGUUUUUUCUUGAUGCGCUAUUGCUACUGUUAUCUAAUUGUUCGCAAGACACACUCGAUUAUCUAGAUAUUGUUUGGUAAUAUUCCUUGCUAUGUUGAUGGACCUUAAUGCCAAUCAUUGAAAAAAUUAGAGAUUUCUCACACCAAUAUGUUUAAUAUGUAUGUAGUCCUUUUCUCAAAAUGGAAGGGCGUAGGAGCGCGCGCCAUCAUGAUCUAGUUAUUUAUA